rnacentral:lncRNA from 1 species
GGUAGCUCUCACCCACCCGGGAACAAGGGCACUCCGCAUCCCGGGAGUUACAAGACACCUUAAACCUGGAUUUUGGGGGAGCUCCAACCACACCAGGGUUGAGGGCACUCCCACCCCAUGGAGGGGUGAGACACCCCGAACCUGGGUGUUGGGGGGAUCUCCCUCCGAACCCCGAGUCAAGGGUACUCCCUGCCCAGGAGGGGCAAGACAACCCGAACCCGCCAGUUGGGGGAGCUCCUACCGUACCCUGAGAGGAGGGCUCUCCCCAUCCAGCCCGAACCUGGGUGUCGGGGGGGUGGGGGGGUGCUCCCACUGCAACCUAGGGUCGAGGAUUCUCCCUCCACCAGAGGGGUGAGACCCCAUGAGCUCAGGUGUCAGGGGGAGCUCCCACAUCACUCAGGGUCAAGGUCACUCCCCACCUGGGGGAGGUGAGACACCCCGAACCAUGGUGCCUGUGGGAGCUCCCACCACACCCAGGGUUAAGGGCACUAGCCAACCCCAGGAGUGGAGAGACGCUGAUAUCGAACUCGGGUGUCACGGGAAGAUCCCACUGCACCCAGGAUGGAGGGCACAUCCCAGCUGGGAGGGGAGAGACCCCCGAACUGGGUUCCGGGCAUAGUUCCCACUUCACCUGGAUUUGGGGGCACUCACCCCCCUGGUAGGGGCGAGACCUCCUGAACUCUGAUGUCGAAUGGAGCUCCCACCACACCUGGGGUCACUCCUCACCAGUGGGGCCAAUCCCCUGAACCCAGGUGUCUAGGGGAGAUCCCACCACGACUGGGGUCUAGGGAACUCCCCCUCUGGAAGGGGUGAGACACCCCUAACUGGGUUUCGUCCAUAGCUCCCACCGCACACAGAGACAAGGACACUCCCCUUCCAGAAGAGGCAAGAGACCCUGAACCCUGGUGUCUGGAGGAGCUCCCAUCGCACCCCAGGUCGAAGGCACUCCCCCCUCUCAGGAGGGGAGAGAUAACCCUGAACCCAGGUGUUGGGGGUAGCUCCCACUACACCUGGGGUCAAGGUCAUUCACCCCUGAUGGGUGAAACCCCCGAACCUGGGUGUCAGGGGGAGCUCCCACUGUACCAGGGGUCAAGGGCACUCUCCCCCCGGGAAGGGUGAAGAACCCCGAAUCCGGGUGUUGGUGGGAGCUCCCAAGGCACCCGGGGUCGAGGGCCCUCCACUCCCACGGGAGGGGCGAGACACCCUGACUCAGGUGUCGUGGGGAUCUCCCACUGCACCUGGGUUCCAGGGCACGCCUUCUCCCUGGGAGGCAAUAGACCCCGCAAACCCAGGUGUCGGGGGAAGCUUCCACUGCACCAGGUCAAGGAAACUCCCUACCCCCAGGAGGCAUGAGACCCCUCGAAUCUGGCUGUCAGAGGGAGCUCCAACCGCACCCAGAGUCGAGGGCACUCCUCCCCCCCAAGCGACACCCCUGAAACCGGGUGUUGGGGGCUGCUCCCACCGAACCUGGUAUAGAGGGCACACCCAUCCAGCGAGGGG